CAGGGUACUGUUUGGCAGCACACCAUCUGCAGAGAGACCAGUAGGCUGGACUGAAUACUCAGGUCAGAGGCCGCCCUCGCUGCAGCUCAAUUCUUGGUGAAACCAGCCCUCCUGGCCAUGGGAGGAGCUGUGGUGGACGAGGGUCCCACCGGCAUCAAGGCCCCCGAUGGGGGCUGGGGCUGGGCCGUCCUCUUUGGCUGUUUCAUCAUCACGGGCUUCUCCUAUGCCUUCCCCAAAGCGGUCAGUGUUUUUUUCAAGGAGCUCAUGCAUGAGUUUGGGAUUGGCUACAGCGACACAGCUUGGAUCUCCUCCAUCCUGCUGGCUAUGCUGUAUGGCACAG
rnacentral:lncRNA from 1 species